rnacentral:snoRNA from 1 species
UCAGGGCUCCGAGGUCACUCUAUUCAGGCUCUGCCGAGUGGUGUCUGGGAGCACAGGGCUCUGCCCCCAACACUGGAGACAGAGGUGGGCUUGUGUCUGUGUCUGCAUAUUCCUACCACUUUCCAGAGUCCUGUCUCCUAGGGAGACAAACUAUGUAGGAAACAUAU